CGGGAUUGGAAAUAGCAAUAUUACCAUGAGAGUGGCGCACGGGUGCGUAACACGUAUGCAAUCUGCCCCUAACUGGAAGAUAGCCCGGCGAAAGUCGGAUUAAUAUUCCAUAACAUUGCGAAACGGCAUCGUUUUGUAAUUAAAGCUCCGGCGGUUAGGGAUGAGCAUGCGCGACAUUAGCUAGAUGGCGAGGUAACGGCUCACCAUGGCUACGAUGUCUAGGGGGUCUGAGAGGAUUAUCCCCCACACUGGUACUGAGACACGGACCAGACUCCUACGGGAGGCAGCAGUAGGGAAUAUUGGGCAAUGGACGCAAGUCUGACCCAGCCAUGCCGCGUGCAGGAUGACGGCCCUAUGGGUUGUAAACUGCUUUUGUACAGGAAGAAACCCCUUUACGUGUAGAGGGCUGACAUUACUGUAAGAAUAAGGAUCGGCUAACUCCGCGCCAGCAGCCGCGGUAAUACGGAGGAUCCAAGCGUUGUCCGGAUUUAUUGGGUUUAAAGGGUGCGUAGGCGGACCAUUAAGUCAGAGGUGAAAGUUUGCAGCUUAACUGUAAAAUUGCCUUUGAAACUGGUGGUCUUGAGUACAGUUGAGGUGGGCGGAAUGUGUCAUGUAGCGGUGAAAUGCUUAGAUAUGAUACAGAACACCGAUUGCGAAGGCAGCUCACUAAACUGUAACUGACGCUGAGGCACGAAAGCGUGGGGAGCGAACAGGAUUAGAUACCCUGGUAGUCCACGCCCUAAACGUUGAAUACUCGUUGUUGGCGAUAUACAGUCAGCGACUAAGCGAAAGCAUUAAGUAUUCCACCUGGGGAGUACGACCGCAAGGUUGAAACUCAAAGGAAUUGACGGGGGCCCGCACAAGCGGAGGAGUAUGUGGUUUAAUUCGAUGAUACGCGAGGAACCUUACCUGGGCUUGAAAGUUAGCGACCGCUGC
rnacentral:rRNA from 1 species